UGAGGUCAGGCACCCAGGGGUAUAUAAACCCAGUGGGUUUGGAUCCAGUUUAUACAGCUGACUGGAACAUUGUGUACUACAGAGAGGCAUUGCGACAGUCAUUUAUAUUGACUCUUUGUCAAAACAAUUCUGGCCCAAUUCUGGGAAUUAAUUGUCUUAUAAACCUCUGAAUAAGCGAAGUGAUAAUCCAUGAGGUGAAUAUUAUCCAAUACCGCUCUGGUAAAUUGUCCACUUAUAGAAGAUUUAUAUGCUGAUUAUCUGUUUUGAAGUC